ACAUCUUUGGUGUAGUGGUAACAUAAUUGCCUUCCAAGCAAUUGCCAGGGGUUCGAUUCCCCUAAGAUGUA
rnacentral:tRNA from 1 species